rnacentral:lncRNA from 1 species
ACCUGGUUUAGGUCGGUAUCCUGGUAUAUAGGAUGAUGCUAUGUUAGUGACCUGGUUUAGGUCGGUAUCCUGGUAUAUAGGAUGAUCCUAUGUUAGUGACAUGGUUUAGGUUGGUAUCCUGGUAUAUAGGAUGAUGCUAUGUUAGUGACCUGGUUUAUGUCGGUAUCCUGGUAUAUAGGAUGAUGCUAUGUUAGUGACCGGUUAGGUCGAUAUCAUGGUAACGAUGAUGCUAUGCUUUAUGAUCUGCUAGAUCGAUUUGUUUGCCAAUGGAUUGUUAUGUGAUUUCCUGUUAUAUGUACACAUGGUUAUUUGCUUGAUGUUUGGGUUGAGGCGAUCCUGCUUUGUGCUGAAGGCCAACAUACCCUACGAGCGGCCCUGAUAGAUUGUAGGCCUGCAUGGCGGUCCAGUCAUACCGAAGGCUUGGAUAGAUCCAGAUAGACUGAAGGCCCGGUGCGGGCGGUCCAGUCAUACUGUAGACUCAGAGAGUGGACCAGGUGAACUGAAGGCCUGUUGAGGGCGGACCAGUCACGCUACAGACUUGAGAGGCAUGGAUGUUCUGUAUUGUGAUCUAAGCAGUUAAUAUCGGCGAUUUCCAGGUGAUUUCCAGGUGGGAUAUCGGUUAUCGGUACUUUUAAAAAUAGCGGUGUCAAAUAUCGGUCCAAAAUAUCGGACCGCAAAUAUCGGUGAUAUGUACUGAUAUUUACCGAUAUUUCCAGGCGAUUUCCAGGUGGGAUAUCAGUUAUGUAAUUUUACUUGCUUUUUUUUAGUGUUAAGUCAUGGCCUUAAGUCUUAUGGACUUAACUUAACUGAACCUGCUAUUAUGUUAAGUACUCAAUUGUUAGUUUUAGGUCAUAGACUCAUGUUUUAAGUAUUAACCGAUCUUAUUGUUAUGUUAAUUGUUACAUACUUAAGUGUUAACUUGCUAGUUUCUAUAGGUCUGAUCAUGUUGAUGUGUUAAGUACAUAAUUCUUAAAUGAUGAUGAUGAUAUUAGAGUUGAUGUGGAUGAUCUAGAUAAAAUAAUUAGAUGCCUUGGUUGAUGUGGACUUGGAGGAAGAUUCCAUUGCUUACGUAAGAUUAGGUUUCAAACAUUGACAGUUUUGAAUUUUGACUUUUUAUAUUACUUUUAUAUAUGUUUUAUGUUUAUAUAUAGUAAUUAUUCAUGAUAUAAAAAUAUCGAUAUCCCACUGCGAUAACCUAUAUCCCAAAUAUCGGCCCUUGACCGAUAUUUGAUUUUCGACCGCUAUAACUGCCUAGAUUGUGAUACAAUAUGUUAUGAUUAUGUUUGUAUGUGGUUGGUAUUUUGGGGGUAACUCACUAAGCUUUUGGGCUUACAGUUCAGUGUAUUGUUUCAGGUACUUCAGGAGAUUGUGGCAAGGCGAAGGCGUGAUUGUAUCGCUCCUUAUGUUUUAUGAUCCAUAUGAUAUGGUUCUGGGGAAUACUCUGAUAUUUAAACUAUUUUGAAAAUAAGAUGUAUGAACUUAAUGGUUUUUGAAUGAAAUAAAAUGUUUUAAAUUGGCUCAAGUUUUUUUUCGUUACAAGUUGGUAUCAGAGCCUUGGUUUGAGUGAAUUGGAGGAACAUUCGUGUGAAUCCAGUCUCAAAUCAAGGAGGGAUUUACAAAAUGGUUUUCAAAAGGUUUUCGAAAUAAGUAAAGGAGGAUGCAGAGGGUACGAUCAGCCAGAGCCAGUAAGUAGACCCCAAAAUACCACACAAGUUAUUUGAUUAUGUGAUAUGUUAGAACAUCAUGCUAGUACUAGGCUAGGGAUCUUCAGGGAUCGCAUGAUAGAAUUGCUUGAUUUCAUGAUGCCUGUUAGCCUAGGGUUUUCCUUAUAUGAAAUUCACAUCCUUACUGUAGUUGUUUAGUGUAUGCAUCACGGUUGUGCAUAAUCAAGAUCUUAUAGCCUGAGAAUGUUCGAUUCGACCUUAAGGUAGAAUUGGAUAUUCGAAAGUCUAUCGGGUCAAGUGUUAUGUGUGGCUAGUAUACACUAAUGCUAUAGGGUCGGUGGAAGUUUCAUGGAUUGGGUGGGUUGUGAGAGGCCGGGAGGCCAGAUAUGUGAUGUUUAGCAUUCAUCUAGGAGUGAGGAUUUAAUCGCUCGCUACAUUUAUGUAUAUUGUUAGGGUGUUGUGAUGAUACUUGAGACAAAUAUGGGUAGGUGUGGAAGGUAGUAUGGGCCCGUACUACUGAAAGCACAGGACCCAUACGCGUGGCAAGGAAGUCACAACCCCUAGGGUUGGGUUUUGGAGUUGUUUCCCUGUCAUUAUAUAGGUUAAUAGAGACCUUUUGGUGUAUUGUCAGAAUGGUGGUCACAAGACGUCUUGUGACCGGAUCCAGGUUAGGAUCGGGAGCUGGCAGCCAGGAUAGGUCAACAUUGUCAGGGGAUCGUGUCAGGGAUAUCCUCCGGGAGGAGACAAUCGAUAUUGUUAGGGGAUAAAUUCCGUAGAUGAUUGGGUCUUUCAAGACCGCUAUGGUUGAGUAUUUUGUCGAGCGUCAUGCAGACAUUGCUGAGACGGUUGUCGCAGCAGCUUUAGUAGCUGUAACAUCGACAGGGAGAGGAGCUGGACGAGCUUUCCAGGACCGGGACAUGUUAUCGGUACAUAAUCUGAUGAGCAGAAGGAUACAAUUAUCUGGUAGCAAGAAGAUGACAUGUACUCGUUAUAUUUCCGCGGGUUGAGCGGGAGAGUCUAGCUUGUGGUUUAUAGAUUUGAGGCUCGGGGUUUUGCUCGAGGCUAGGUUAUGGGUCAUGAGAACUUCAGAAAGGAGUGAUGAUUAUGUUCAGCUGGGGUUUUGCAGCUGGAAGUGAAAUGGUUGAUUGAUGAAUUGGACCGGCGUUUGGUAGGGCAAGGAUUGCACCCUCUCAGUUUUCGAGCUCGAAGGAGUGAGCAGGAUUGUGACCCCAGGAUUAGGUGUAAUCCAGCUCGGAGUCAGUUGGUUAUAGGAAUAGGCAACAUUAUUUCAGUGUCGGUGAGCUCAGGACGGUCGGCAUGGCAUAAGUGUUGUGAGGUCCGAUUUUCCUUGGAUCUCUUGUAUCGGAUGGAAAGGAUUGAUUGUGUGAUCUAUUGUACUUUUAAGACUGUAGACUAUGUCUUGGGAGUGGUUUGUAGCCUAGUUUAGGGCAGAGGUUGUUUCAGCUGUGGGCGUUUGAGUUGGUGAGUGAGUCAGGGUGUGAACCCUGAAGAGAAUGAUUUCUAAAGCCCGAAAGCGGGAAGCUUGUUUGGAACACCUUUGGAAAAGGGGUUUAUGUGGAAGGACUACGGAUGGAGUCCCACAAAAGGGUUAUUCAUCAUUGUCAGGAUUCAGUGGUUAGCAACCAUUAGUGGUUGACAGAUUAAAAGCACCAAGAGAAGUAACUCAUUGCCGAGAUAUUAGUUGGAGCAUCUAUAUGGUGGUCUUCAGGAAGUGAGUGUGGAGUCAUUCACGCAUUAGUGGCUAUCGGUUUCAUAGGGAUUCAUGAGUGAUCAUCCGAUUCUUAGAAGUGUGUGAUGAGUCGGGUCUAGCUAGCAAUGGAACACUAGUGGGAAAGAGUUGGUUGUCAUCGGAUAAAUCAUUGGGAAGUGAGGAGGAUUGAGAAUCCUCCAAUCUUCAUGUAUUAUGAAGGCUUAGUUGAAUCUAAGUGGGGGAGUGUUACCCUGAGAUGUUGAAGUGGAAAGGUUUUGAAACGGGGAUAAGUUUCACAACCCGACAGGGAGAACAGAGGCCCUAUUGGAUGCUUAGUUAAGGGUUGUGUUGUUUGGGGGUCGGCAAAACUCCCCAGCAUAAGAACACGUCUUCUGGAUGCUUGAUAGCAAAAGUUGGGUAACCAUGUUGGGGUCCUAGUCAAGAAUCGGGUUCAGCUCGAGUUUUCAGUCGAGGGUGUGCUCGACUCUGAGGGUUUUGUUAGAUGUCAGGUCUCAGCAGUGCAUUUAGCACGAGAGUGCAGGUUAUUUAGCGUGUAUGGUAGACACGCGGGCCAGAGAAUAGACCUCGCAUUUCUGAGAAGGUGGGCGAUUGACUGAAGGCCUGGUAGGGCGGUCCAGUCAUGCUGAAGACUCUGUUUAUGUUUGUAGAUUUAUGUUCGAGUAUUGAGUAGGUUGCUACGCUUUAGCACUCAAUAGGUCUGUUCCACGUUUUGAGCAUGCUGCUAGAGUAGGCUGAGGACUCCGGUGUAUCUUGGUUGAUCGGAAGUUAUUAUUUGGGUUCGGACGGAGUUCAAAUAAUCUUGGUGAUCUCAUCCGUUCGGAGUGUCUCCGAGGUUUCAUCUUCUUGGAUCAGAUAAUACUCCAGUUGGGGACCGAGAAUGGAUUCGAAUGGGCGUUUUAAUUAAAAUUUUGGAUCCAACGGUGUUGUUAGCCGAGAGUGGGGCAUGAUUGGAGCAAGUGAUAGAUAAGUGGGGCAGGAAACAGACCAUGGUUUCAGGAAAGGUAGUUGGUCGAUGUGAGGCUUGGUUUAGGCCAUGGAAAGGAUUCCGGGAACGGAACUGGAGUUCGGAACCCCAAGAGGGCUAGAACAGACUACAUGGGAGAGAUCCCCGAGAAGGAUGGUUCAGGGUGACGUACGAGAUUGUUCAGUGGCGGCAAUCGUGUCGGAGGUCGGAGCAGCUUGGUCUUAUCUUUUCAGUCAACAAUUUCAGGUGAGUUAUCCUCACUAUAUCAAUAGGGUCUAAGGCACCAAGGCCGGCCCUUUUAGUUGUUAUCUUGGUUACAAUAUGCUACAUGUGGUUAUAAUCUGUUAGAUUGGUAUCAGAAUAGACAGUAUGUUGUUAUGCUCUUGUGAUCCGUUAGGAUUGGUAUGUCAGUGACCUGGUUAGGUCGAUGCCUUGGUCAUGAGAGAUUGCUAUGAUCGAUGAUCUGUGAGAUAGUUAUAUCUGAUAUUUGUACUUGUACUGUUGAUGUGCUUAUUGAUCUGUUAGAUCAGCAUCUUGGUAAUUGGGGCAGUAUUAUGUUAGUGACCUAGUUUAGGUCGGUAUCCUGGUAUAUAGGAUGAUGCUAUGUUAGUGACCGGUUGGGUCGAUAUCCUGGUAAGGAUGAUGCUAUGCUUUAUGAUCUGCUAGAUCGAUUUUUUUGCCUAUGGACUGUUAUGUGAUUUCCUGUUAUAUGUACACAUGGUUAUUUGCUUGAUGUUUGGGUUGAGGCGGUCCUACUUUGUGCUGAAGGCCAACAUACCCUAUGAGCGGCCCGGAUAGAUUGUAGUCCCGCAUGGCGGUCCAGUCAUACCGAAGGCUCGGAUAGAUCUAGAUAGACUGAAGGCCUGGUGCGGGCGGUCCAGUCAUGCUGUAGACUCAAAGAGUGGACCAUGUGAACUGAAGGCCUGUUGAGGGCGGACCAGUCACGCUGCAGACUUGAGAGGCAUGGCUGUUCUGUAUUGUGAUACAAUAUGUUAUGAUUAUGGUUGUAUGUGGUUGGUAUUUUGGGGGUAACUCACUAAGCUUUGGGGCUUACAGUUCAGUGUAUUGUUUCAGGUACUUUAGGAGAUUAUGGCAAGGCGAAGGCGUGAGCGUACCGCUCCUCAUGUUUUAUGAUUCAUGUGAUAUGGUUCUGGGGGGAUACUCUGAUGUUUAAACUAUUUUGAAAAUAAGAUGUAUGAACUUAAUGGUUUUUGAAUGAAAUAAAAUGUUUUAAAUUGGCUCAAGUUUUUGGUUGUUACACUUAGUCCUUCACUUGAUUCACAUAUACAUGUGAACAAGGAACUAGUCUUAAUUUUCCAAAGAUGAAGGUUAUCAUUCAUCAUAAUAUACAACUUGC